rnacentral:rRNA from 1 species
GACGUAGGGGGCCAGCGUUGCUCGGAAUUACUGGGCGUAAAGGGUUCGUAGGCGGUGCGGUAAGUCGGAAGUGAAAUCUCUGGGCUUAACUCAGAGGCUGCUUUCGAAACUGCCGUGCUAGAGUGCGGGAGAGGCGAGUGGAAUUGCAGGUGUAGCGGUGAAAUGCGUAGAUAUCUGCAGGAACACCCGUGGCGAAGGCGGCUCGCUGGCUCGGUACUGACGCUGAGGUGCGAAAGCGUGGGGAGCAAACAGG